rnacentral:rRNA from 1 species
GAUGAACGCUAGCGACAGGCCUAACACAUGCAAGUCGAGGGGCAGCACAAGGUAGCAAUACUGUGGUGGCGACCGGCGCACGGGUGAGUAACGCGUAUGCAACCUGCCUGUAACAGGGGAAUAGCCUCUUGAAAGAGAGAUUAAUGCCGCAUAAUACGAGAUUCGGGCAUCCGGAUUUUGUUAAACAUUUAUGGGUUACAGAUGGGCAUGCGUUUCAUUAGGUAGUUGGUGAGGUAACGGCUCACCAAGCCGACGAUGAAUAGGGGUUCUGAGAGGAAGGUCCCCCACACUGGUACUGAGACACGGACCAGACUCCUACGGGAGGCAGCAGUGAGGAAUAUUGGUCAAUGGACGCAAGUCUGAACCAGCCAAGUCGCGUGAAGGAUGAAGGUUCUAUGGAUUGUAAACUUCUUUUAUAAGGGAAUAAAAUCACCUACGUGUAGGUGCCUGUAUGUACCUUAUGAAUAAGGACCGGCUAACUCCGUGCCAGCCGCCGC